rnacentral:rRNA from 1 species
UACGUAGGGGGCUAGCGUUAUCCGGAAUUACUGGGCGUAAAGGGUGCGUAGGUGGUUUCUUAAGUCAGAGGUGAAAGGCUACGGCUCAACCGUAGUAAGCCUUUGAAACUGGGGAACUUGAGUGCAGGAGAGGAGAGUGGAAUUCCUAGUGUAGCGGUGAAAUGCGUAGAUAUUAGGAGGAACACCAGUUGCGAAGGCGGCUCUCUGGACUGUAACUAACACUGAGGCACGAAAACGUGGGGAGCAAACAGG